GAUGAACGCUGGCGGCGUGCCUAAUACAUGCAAGUCGAGCGAACAGAUGAGGAGCUUGCUCCUCUGACGUUAGCGGCGGACGGGUGAGUAACACGUGGAUAACCUACCUAUAAGACUGGGAUAACUUCGGGAAACCGGAGCUAAUACCGGAUAAUAUAUUGAACCGCAUGGUUCAAUAGUGAAAGACGGUUUUGCUGUCACUUAUAGAUGGAUCCGCGCCGCAUUAGCUAGUUGGUAAGGUAACGGCUUACCAAGGCGACGAUGCGUAGCCGACCUGAGAGGGUGAUCGGCCACACUGGAACUGAGACACGGUCCAGACUCCUACGGGAGGCAGCAGUAGGGAAUCUUCCGCAAUGGGCGAAAGCCUGACGGAGCAACGCCGCGUGAGUGAUGAAGGUCUUCGGAUCGUAAAACUCUGUUAUUAGGGAAGAACAAAUGUGUAAGUAACUAUGCACGUCUUGACGGUACCAAAUCAGAAAGCCACGGCUAACUACGUG
rnacentral:rRNA from 1 species